rnacentral:rRNA from 1 species
UACAGAGGUGGCAAGCGUUGUUCGGAAUUACUGGGCGUAAAGGGCGCGUAGGCGGCCUUAAUAAGUCUCGUGUGAAAGCCCUCGGCUUAACUGAGGAUCUGCACGGGAUACUGUAAGGCUUGAGUUCGGGAGAGGAAAGCGGAAUUCCGGGUGUAGCGGUGAAAUGCGUAGAUAUCCGGAGGAACACCAGUGGCGAAGGCGGCUUUCUGGACCGACACUGACGCUGAGGCGCGAAAGCUAGGGGAGCAAACGGG